rnacentral:tRNA from 1 species
GCCGGAGUGGCGGAAUGGCAGACGCAGCGGACUUAAAAUCCGCCGGGUGGUUUCUCCUGUACGGGUUCGAGUCCCGUCUCCGGCACCA